rnacentral:rRNA from 1 species
AACGAGUCGCAAGCCGGUGACGGCAAGCUAAUCUCUUAAAGCCAAUCUCAGUUCGGAUUGUAGGCUGCGACUCGCCUACAUGAAGUCGGAAUCGCUAGUAAUCGCGGAUCAGCACGCCGCGGUGAAUACGUCCCGGGCCUUGUACACACCGCCCGUCACACCACGAGAGUUUGUAACACCCGAAGUCGGUGAGGUAACCUAUUAGGAGCCAGCCGCCUAAGG